GAAGGACUAGCUCAGUGGUAGAGCAUCUGCCUUGCAUGCAGGAAGUCCUGGGUUCAAUCCCCGGCACCUCCA